CCCUUCGUAGCUCAAUGGUAGUAGCCGCCGACUGAUAAUCGGCAGACGAAGAUUCGAUUUCUUCCGAAGGGACUA
rnacentral:tRNA from 1 species